GCAUCCUCUCUUCCAGCACUCAGAGAUGGAGACAGACAGACUCCUGCUAUGGGCACUGCUGCUCUGGGUUCCAGGCUCCACUGGUGACAUUGUCUUGACCCAGUCUCCUGCUUUGGCUGUGUCUCUAGGGCAGAGGGCCACAAUCUCCUGUAGGGCCAGCCAAAGUGUCAGUAUAUCUAGAUAUAAUCUUAUGCACUGGUACCAACAGAAACCAGGACAGCAACCCAAACUCCUCAUCUAUCGUGCAUCCAACCUAGCAUCUGGGAUCCCUGCCAGGUUCAGUGGCAGUGGGUCUGGGACAGACUUCACCCUCACCAUCAAUCCUGUGCAGGCUGAUGAUAUUGCAACCUAUUACUGUCAGCAGAGUAGGGAGUCUCCGUGGACGUUCGGUGGAGGCACCAAGCUGGAAUUGAAACGGGCUGAUGCUGCACCAACUGUAUCUAUCUUCCCACCAUCCACGGAACAGUUAGCAACUGGAGGUGCCUCAGUCGUGUGCCUCAUGAACAACUUCUAUCCCAGAGACAUCAGUGUCAAGUGGAAGAUUGAUGGCACUGAACGACGAGAUGGUGUCCUGGACAGUGUUACUGAUCAGGACAGCAAAGACAGCACGUACAGCAUGAGCAGCACCCUCUCGUUGACCAAGGCUGACUAUGAAAGUCAUAACCUCUAUACCUGUGAGGUUGUUCAUAAGACAUCAUCCUCACCCGUCGUCAAGAGCUUCAACAGGAAUGAGUGUUAGACCCAAAGGUCCUGAGGUGCCACCUGCUCCCCAGCUCCUUCCAAUCUUCCCUCCUAAGGUCUUGGAGACUUCCCCACAAGCGACCUACCACUGUUGCGGUGCUCCAAACCUCCUCCCCACCUCAUCCUCCUUCCUUUCCUUGGCUUUGAUCAUGCUAAUAUUUGGGGAAUAUUAAAUAAAGUGAAUCUUUGCACUUGA